GACGAACGCUGGCGGCGUGCUUAACACAUGCAAGUCGAACGGAAAGGCCCUGCUUGCAGGGUGCUCGAGUGGCGAACGGGUGGGUAACACGUGGGUGAUCUGCCCCUUAUUUUGGGAUAAGCCUGGGAAACUGGGUCUAAUACUGGAUAGGACCAUGCUGUAGGUGGUGUGGUGGAAAGAUUAGUUUCGGUAAGGGAUGAGCUCGCGGCCUAUCAGCUUGUUGGUGGGGUAAUGGCCUACCAAGGCGUCGACGGGUAGCCGGCCUGAGAGGGUGGACGGCCACAUUGGGACUGAGAUACGGCCCAGACUCCUACGGGAGGCAGCAGUGGGGAAUAUUGCACAAUGGGCGCAAGCCGGAUGCAGCGACGCCGCGUGGGGGAUGACGGCCUUCGGGUUGUAAACUCCUUUCAGCCAUGACGAAGCCCUUGUGGUGACGGUAGUGGUAGAAGAAGCACCGGCUAACUACGUG
rnacentral:rRNA from 1 species